UUCAUACUGAGUAUAUAGUACGCAUCAAAUUUGAAGUUAAACUCUGCAUGAGUCAAUGCCAUCCAUAGUGCUUUGCUGCCCGGAAUAUGAGUCACUGGUUAAUUGGUUAUUAUGGACGCUUUGUUUUUUUUUUGUUUUUGGACAACAAUCUUUACACGCCAGUUCGCUAUUAAUUAUCUGUUCGAAUUUAUACAUUUAUCACUAUAUUGAUAUAGUGAUAAAAAAUAUGAUGACAAACACGAAUAUACCGUUAUGUAAAUCAGUGGUUAAUGUUCUAGAAAUUAAAAGUUAGUUGCACGUGUUUUUAGAAGCAUUAGAGGAAAUCAUGGCCCCAUCUGAAAUGUUUAUAAUGUUUAGGGAAUUUUUAUAUAUGAGAUCCAUAGACUGAAUGAAGGUGAAAGCACCCCCAGUCGUUUCUUUGUUUUUCUUAUGUCAAAUGGACGGGAGAAAAUGGGCUGAAAGAUGAAAGAUGAAAGGUACACAAAGAUGCCCCAACGGCAAGAACUCCAGAAAUAUUCCUUUGGCUGGACCCCAUGUGUCCACAACAAACUACAACUAAAACAAGUGCUUGCAACUAACUUUGUCAUAUCCUAGCUGACUACUUCCUGUUACCCCCUAAUCUUCGUUAGUUGCUCCUUUGUGGAAAAAAAAUCUUUGUUAAUUGCUCAGUAGAACCUUAAACUCGUGGGCCAUUAAGUUCACCCAACCAUGAACCAUAUAUUGCCAAUCAUUAAGCAUGUGAGUUGCAGCCACUUUGACUAAGCUGACAGCUGAUCAAUUCUCAAACGAGGCCAGG
rnacentral:lncRNA from 1 species